GUGGGGAAUUUUGGACAAUGGGCGCAAGCCUGAUCCAGCCAUGCCGCGUGUGUGAAGAAGGUCUUCGGAUUGUAAAGCACUUUAAGUUGGGAGGAAGGGCAGUAAGUUAAUACCUUGCUGUUUUGACGUUACCGACAGAAUAAGCACCGGCUAACUUCGUGCCAGCAGCCGCGGUAAUACGAAGGGUGCAAGCGUUAAUCGGAAUUACUGGGCGUAAAGCGCGCGUAGGUGGUUUUGUAAGUUGGAGGUGAAAUCCCCGGGCUCAACCUGGGAACUGCCUCCAAAACUGCAUGACUAGAGUACGGUAGAGGGUAGUGGAAUUUCCUGUGUAGCGGUGAAAUGCGUAGAUAUAGGAAGGAACACCAGUGGCGAAGGCGACUACCUGGACUGAUACUGACACUGAGGUGCGAAAGCGUGGGGAGCAAACAGGAUUAGAAACCCGAGUAGUCC
rnacentral:rRNA from 1 species